GAGAGCCCCGUGGGAUGCCGGCGGAAGCAGUGAGGCCCUUCUGACGAGUCGAGUUGUUUGGGAAUGCAGCUCCAAGCGGGUGGUAAAUUCCAUCUAAGGCUAAAUACUGGCGAGAGACCGAUAGCGAACAAGUACUGUGAAGGAAAGAUGAAAAGCACUUUGAAAAGAGAGUGAAACAGCACGUGAAAUUGUUGAAAGGGAAGGGUAUUGCGCCCGACAUGGGGAUUGCGCACCGCUGCCUCUCGUGGGCGGCGCUCUGGGCUUUCCCUGGGCCAGCAUCGGUUCUUGCUGCAGGAGAAGGGGUUCUGGAACGUGGCUCUUCGGAGUGUUAUAGCCAGGGCCAGAUGCUGCGUGCGGGGACCGAGGAUUCCGUCUUGUGCCGUGUAGUCACGGAUGCUGGCAGAACGGCGCAACACC
rnacentral:rRNA from 1 species